UGGAUCAAUGAUGAAAGUGUGUCAGGAAUAGAAGAUUAUGAUUAAUCCAAUCCCAGAGAGAUUCCCC
ensembl:snoRNA